AUAUAUAUAUAUAUAUAUAUAUAUAUACACACACAUAUAUAUGUAUGUGUGUGUGUGUGUAUAUAUAUAUAUAUAUAUAUAU
rnacentral:miRNA from 1 species